rnacentral:rRNA from 1 species
UCUAGAACCGAUAACCCCCGUUAAACCUCACCCCCUCUUGUUUUAUCCGCCUAUAUACCACCGUCGUCAGCUUACCCUGUGAAGGAUUAACAGUAAGCAAAAUUGGCACAGCCCAA